UAUGAACUCACAAAGCUUCAAGCACAUCACUCCCCUCCAAAAUCAGAGAUACAUCCAAAAUUCCUAUCUAUACCUGAUUUUAAGAAUAAUGAUGCUUCUGUUUCUGCAACCCCUAAAGCUUCAUCUCCAAUCUCAAACUCUGCUUCGCCGUCCCCUUUGUCGCAGCACAUGGUUUCAUCAUUUGGAACAGCGAUGGCCCCAAAGAGAAAGAAACCGCGGGCAGUGAAGUUAGAAUAUGGCGCCAGUGCUUCCAUUGCGGCUGGCUCAUCUAUCCCUUCAGAGAGCAUCAUCCAUGUAUCAUCUACCAUGCCAACUAGUGCCUCUUUUGAUAUCAAAGUUGAACUUGAAAAUGAUUCCCAAAAUACAAAGAUGGAAGUGUUGUCUCCCAAAGCAGAAAAAGGUAUUGUACCUGGCCCUGGUUCUUCAACAAAUCCUACUUGCGUCUUUACAGGUUACUCCAUCAUCACAAACACCAAUUAUACAAAACAUGGUCCAAAUGGAGGAAAAAGUAAAUCCCCCAACUCAUAUAGAAACAAAACCCAACUUGCCUCUAGAGAGCAAUUUAGUGGCAGCUGAGGCUACUUCUACAACAUCAUCUGAUCAAAGGAAGUCAUACUCUGGAAACAAUCUUGAUAGUUCAAAGAUGUUUUCCUCAGUUUCUGUAUCUGUUGAGAGAGUCACUGAGACCAAGUUAAUGAUUGAUUUAAUGGCUCUUCCGGAAAAUACUCGUCUAGAUAAUGAUGAUGCACCUAAGUCGUCCGAGAAAGAUGUCCCUCAUUUGUCAACUCCAAAUCCUAGCAUGGUUACUCAAACCUCCAGUAACAGGAGAAUGGAAACUGAGGGGAAUAUGGGACAGAAUUUGAUUAUUCAACAAGUGGAGGAGAACACCCAAAUAAAGAAAUUGGAUGAGGAGAUGAAACUGGAGAAACAGCAUCUUAAAGAGGCAAAUACUGAGUCGCACUUUGAUGGGAGCAAACUGGAAUUGGACGUUAACAAGCAGAGACCCAAAAACAAAAGAAAAGCAGAGAGAACUGCACCACCUGCUGGUACUAUCACAUCAUCCUCAGUCCCUAUUCCUGUAACACUUACUGGCUGGCGUGGCAGCCUUCCUCCUGUUGGGUAUUUGGGCCCAACAUCAGCUAAUUUAUCUGGCUUCCCGUCUCUUCAAGGAGCAGUGCCAAUGGAAGCAAACUCUACAAUACCAAAUGUACCCUUUAUGAUGCCUCCACAGACAAGGCCAAAGCGUUGUGUCAACCAUUUCUUCAUUGCAAGGCUCAUACAUUACCAGCAACAAUUAGCAAGGGCUAAUCCCUUUUGGGCAGCUGCUGGUUCUGCACCUAUUUAUACGGCAAACCCAUAUAAUUUAAAUGUUAUGCCUCAGCCUGAAGCUCUCAUGUUGGGUGGAGCAGUUAUCAAGAAUCCAGCUUUGCAGUUGGAAAAGGGCCUUCCCCCUGCUUCAGUUGCUGACUUUCCAGGACAAAGCCUGAGGGAGAAAACGCCCAACUCUUUCAUGGACGCCCAAAAGAAGCAUCUGCUGCUUCAACAAGCCUCACAACAGGGCGCGACACUUAUUUUCCCAGUCAACCAGCCAAGAACAGGGGGAACAACGAAGUCCGAGAACCCAUCAGAGAAUGGCGCAAAGCCUUUGAUUCCGUCUUCCUCAAACCCCGCAACACUCAACGCCAACUUAGCCGCAACACCUUCUGAGGCCCAAUAUCUCACCAUGCUCCAAGCUGGCUACCCUUUCCCAAUUCCCCCACCUCCUUAUAACAGAGGAACCCAGCCUUCUCUUCACCCCCAACCACCUCAUCAAUUUUUUGCAGGUUCCUUCUACCCUUCACGAUUGUUGCACCUCCAACCUCACCCCCAACCCCAAAACUCACCACCUGAUUCCAUAAGAAAUGAUGCAAAACCUCCCCUAAAAAGUGAUGACUCUGCUACAAAAAAGACCAAUACCCCCAAUUUCUCUAGUGACCUACCGAUUGCUCAGACUUUUCCCAUCAUGUCAACAAAUUUAGCACCAAAAAACCAUCAACAACCCAAUGAUGCACACCACCUCCAAAUGAGCUUGAAACCUAGGUGCACCAGCAGUAGCAUUAGCAGUACAGUGGAUCUCGCUUCAACUAUACCUGUAGCCAUGUCUAUCUCUACUCCAUCAGGUGUUGGUCACACUAUGAUGCGAACCUUGCCAGAUUCCAGCCAAAUGAAACCCUCGAAAGCACCGGAUUCUGGCAGUACGAAGAUGGUAUCUGGUAAGCCUGUGGUGUAUUCAGGAGCCAAUGCAAAGUUGCCAGCGAGCUAUUCCGGUCAUUUUCCAGCCAAUUCUGGCUGGAAAAUGACACCAGUUAGUCAGUCCAAUCAAGCGCCAUCCAUCUCUUCUAAGAAUCAGCCAAUUCAACAACAUCAGUUCUUAUCAAGCUCUGAUGCUUUGGUUCAACAACAACUACAAAAUUUAUAUCAGAAAAGGCAAAUUGCUGGGCCUCAAGUUGUUUGCUCUGGUGGUUUGAAUGGCUGGAAAGCAGUGAACCAGCAGGUGAUGACUACUAGCAAUGGGAGUGCUUCAUAUGUUGGGGGUGGAGGAAAUGGAAGCAAGGGCAAGGGUAAUCAGGUAAUGUACAAGUCACUAGGGGGAAAUCCUGUUACUGUGAUGGCUACCACCACUAGUUAUGCACAGCCGGCCCCGAACCUUCCUGUGAGAUCGGCAGAUUAGAAACUGGCAAAAAAGUAUGCUAGAAUGUGAUGGAUCGUUGAAGUACGAUGGUCCGUUGGGCCAUCACCGUAUGAUGAAAUGGUGAAUGGAACGGAGUGAAAGAUUGGGACCCUUCGUGUUUUGGUGUAUUGUGGCAAUUCAACUUGAGGGGACCUACUCAACCAUGGUUCGGGCGCAGGUUCCAUGCAACGGGCCAGCAGGGGCCCGCGGAGGUAGCAUCAGCGUCAUUGACAUAAGCGCAACUAUGCACACUGACGGCUAAUUUUUGUGAUGGUUUAUACAUGGAUGUCACUUACAAGUGGUGGGAGAAGAUAUGAGCCAUAGUUUUCUCUUUGAAAUUUUAGGAAGAGAAAUUAGAUAGAAUGGGGGCUCAUGAAUAUGAGCAAUUGCAUAGAUUCCAUAGGGAUAUGUGCUUUGUUUAUUUAUUACUUUGGUUUCUCUUAUGCCUGUAUUUUUCCUUGUGUAUUUUAUAUAAUGUUUUAGGGUAAGUUUUAGGGUAGGGUACAUCUACACAAGUGUACACUUUAUGGUUUUUUUUUUGUUGUACAUUUUAGGAAUAGGAAUACGAGAAUAUUACUAUAUCAACUCGUCUUUAUUAAUUUUUUUUUGGGGUGGUGAAUGCCUUGUUGAGCAUUCUUCCACCUAUAUAUGCCCCUAAUUAA